UGCAAGAGGAGAUAGAAAGUUCUUAUAGUGCAAAACUUUGGGAGUCAAAAAAUUCACUGAGCUGGUAGUCUUUUCUGAGCUUUUAGCUUUCUAGGAUUGUGCCAUAAGAAGAUUGGCCUUUCCUCCCGUUUACUUCUACAAUGGAGGAGUUAGAGAGUUCCUUGCUACAAUAAAGCAACAUGUUUUUAUUGCGAGUUCACUUUCACUCAGUUCGUGAACUUGUG